GACGUAGGGCGCGAGCGUUGUCCGGAUUUAUUGGGCGUAAAGAGCUCGUAGGCGGUUUGUCGCGUCUGCUGUGAAAAUCCAGGGCUUAACCCUGGACCUGCAGUGGGUACGGGCAGACUGGAGUGCGGUAGGGGAGAUCGGAAUUCCUGGUGUAGCGGUGAAAUGCGUAGAUAUCAGGAGGAACACCGAUGGCGAAGGCAGGUCUCUGGGCUGACACUGACGCUCAUGCACGAAAGCGUGGGGAGCAAACAGG
rnacentral:rRNA from 1 species